GGCUGGCCUCCCACAGAACCGGGCUGGCCGGGACAACCAGCCUGGGGGCAGCCCCAGGGUGGGGAGACCCCCAGAUCUCUCGGUCGAGGGAAGGGAAGAUUUAAAGGGCGGGUCCUUGUUCCAGCUGGAUAACCUUGGGGCAGCUACUUCACCUCCCUGGGCCUCCUUUCAGGAAACAGGGUGAGUGACAGUCACAACCCAGUGAGUCUGCGAAUGCACC
rnacentral:lncRNA from 1 species